rnacentral:sRNA from 1 species
UACACCAUAUAUGUGCAUAGCGGAUGAAUGCCCAGAUUCUCAUCCACAUUUUUCAGAGUUCAAUGAUUGGCUAAAACAUAUGCAAGGACAUGGCCAACAUUGGUACCAAGGAUUAUUCCAGGUGAUGUCCUGGAGAUGCUUGGACUGCACACCUGACCUGAAGGUCUUCAUCAAUUCACAUCGCCUACUCCUCCAUAUGCAAGAGCAACACAAGGAGCACUACACAGACCGCCAAAUUGAGAUAAUAUCGCGGAAUAGCACAGGGAGGGAACCAAGGUUGGAUAAAUGCCGAUUAUGUUAUUACAAAAUUGGGGAGACUGCCUCGCCUAAGCAUCUAUAUUCCAGAAAACGUCGGA